GCAGUCGAGCGGUAAGGCCCUUCGGGGUACACGAGCGGCGAACGGGUGAGUAACACGUGGGUGAUCUGCCUUGCACUUCGGGAUAAGCCUGGGAAACUGGGUCUAAUACCGGAUAUGACCUCGGAAUGCAUGUUCUGGGGUGGAAAGAUUUAUCGGUGCGAGAUGGGCCCGCGGCCUAUCAGCUUGUUGGUGAGGUAACGGCUCACCAAGGCGACGACGGGUAGCCGACCUGAGAGGGUGACCGGCCACACUGGGACUGAGACACGGCCCAGACUCCUACGGGAGGCAGCAGUGGGGAAUAUUGCACAAUGGGCGCAAGCCUGAUGCAGCGACGCCGCGUGCGGGAUGACGGCCUUCGGGUUGUAAACCGCUUUUGACAGGGACGAAGCGCAAGUGACUGUACCUGUAGAAUAAGGACCGGCCAACUACGUGCCAGCAGCCGCGGUAAUACGUAGGGUCCGAGCGUUGUCCGGAAUUACUGGGCGUAAAGAGCUUGUAGGCGGUUCGUCGCGUCGUUUGUGAAAACUUGGGGCUCAACCUUAAGCUUGCAGGCGAUACGGGCGGACUAGAGUACUUCAGGGGAGACUGGAAUUCCUGGUGUAGCGGUGAAAUGCGCAGAUAUCAGGAGGAACACCGGUGGCGAAGGCGGGUCUCUGGGAAGUAACUGACGCUGAGAAGCGAAAGCAUGGGUAGCAAACAGGAUUAGAUACCCUGGUAGUCCAUGCCGUAAACGGUGGGUACUAGGUGU
rnacentral:rRNA from 1 species